rnacentral:lncRNA from 1 species
CUUUUUAGGGCCACACUGUGGCAUAUGGAGGUUCCCAGGCUAGGGGUCUAAUUGGAGCCAUAGCUGCCAGCCACAGCAACGCAGGAUCUGAGCCACAUCUGCGACGUACACCACAGCUCACAGCAAUGCCGCAUCCUUAACCCACUGAGCAAGGCCAGGGAUAAAACGUGCGUCCUUAUGGAUGCUAGUCAGAUUCGUUAAAUGCUGAACCAUGAUGGAAACUCCAGGGCUAGCCUUUAAAAGGACUUGCAGUCUCCACUUCCUGCCUCUUGAAAUUCAGCCACCACACUACACAGAAGCCUACGCAACCACAAUGAGAAUGCUUAGCAGAAUCACGGCUUCCUAGCUGUAAGCUACCAGCUGAUGGCCAGCAUCACUACUAUCUAAGUAGGUCAUCUGGAGUACUCUGGCCCAUUUGAGACCCAAAGUAGCUACAGCUCCAGAGGACUUCAUGUGAAGCAGAAGAACCAUUCAGCUGAACCGAGUCAAUCCAGAGAAUUAGAAGACAGUUUUUAAAGAAUGGUUGUUUCAAGACACCGCAUUAGGGGCAAGAGGAGAGUUAUGAAGCAAUAAGGAAUCAAAACAUUCACUUCUAUCUAUCUUGUCUUUUGCUCAAACUGACUCCUAUGGUUCCUUAUAAUGAUUUUUUCCUAAUAUGUCCGUCUGCUUCAGCUUAGCUACAAUAGGCAGCUUUUCCAUUCUCAAUUCUGAAUACUUGCAAUAAUUUAUCUAGUAACUAUCGCAUAAAUUUCAAAUGGUAAUCUAAGUCUUUUGUUUCCUAUACCCAUAAACUGUUAAGGAGAAAGAAAAGGAAAUGGAAGCAGGAAGUUUAUAGUCUCAUCAGAGGAUUUCAAUAAAGUUUAACAGAGGAGUCAAAUUUUGUAACCUAAACAAAAAAUUUCUUUCCACAUUCACCCUCAAAUAUAGUAACCAAAUGAGAUUAGAAACUUAUUAAGAGAAAGCUUAAAGCUGCAAAAGAAUUAUUCUAGUUCUGAAAUUCUGGCUGAAAGAGACAUUUGCAAAAUAAGGGAAAACUAAUAUUAAGUGGUUAUAUCUUUUAAUGAUGGCUAAAGACAGCUUUAGCUGAUAGACAUUCACAGAUACUUAACAGAAUUUAGGAGUCAAUUAUUUACAGCUAAGAAUCAAAAGCUAAGCAUUUAAAGUAUAAGUACAUGUCCAGUGAUUAAAAAUAAAAAAGGACCAAUCUUGCAAGGACCUUGCACCCCAAAAAUGACAGUGGGGAAUAAGCUCUUAGAUGAUGAGGAGCAUAUCUUUCACUGUCUAUCCUCAGGAUUCAACAAAGUGUUUGGUACACAAGAAAAUGUCCAGUAUGUGUUUAUGAAGGAACAAAUGAACAAAUGAAUGGAGAGCGAUGGUGAAGGAAGAACAAAGACCAAAAUAAAGAGGAAGGAGUGGUAAGCAAGAAUUCAAAUAAAAACCCUCCUGGAACAGGAAUCACUGAAUUUUUCACAGGUGUUUUCUCAACUAGAGAGUUCUGAUACCUAAGCAAUUGGGAUAUAAACCUUGGUUAGCCCAUGUAAAUAGCAGCUGCUAAACAGGACCUACAGCUUUGAGCUCCCCAAGGCAAGUCAGGCCUGGGCAGAGAAGAAACAAGACUUUCAGCACCUUAAAAGGACCUAAAAAAAGGAAGCUCUAACAUUCCUUUCUGGCCAGUCCCUCACAUCUUUAAGGAAAGGUAACCAGUAGUCAUGUCAUAAUAAGUGGUGUCAUAUGGAUUUAAGAGAAAGUCAGUUCCAUAUGUACAGAAGCCUCUCUAUCUGGAAUUUUUAAUAUAUCAAAACUCUUGAUGAUCAAACUUUCAAACAGUAAGAUUUCCAAGAAAGGGAAAAAUUUUCACUUAGGACAAUAGUCAUAUCCUAACAGUCAUGGAUGAUGUUUGCCGGCCAUUAAGACACCUAGUUAUGUUUUAUGAUUUUAACUUCUUUUCACUAUUUAAUUUUUUGUAAGUACAUUAUUUAAAUCUUUGUCCAUUUUUUUUUACUAUAAUCUUCAGAGGCAUUCUAUCAAGUACAUGUUUAUAUAUAAACAGCUCCCUAAAUAUCUGAUCACCUAAUUAUGCUAUAAUAUUUUCUGAAAUAAAAAUGAGUAUAAAUACAUCAGUAAAUAAAAAUUGAACAAUAAUACUUCAGCAGGUCAAACUCAGAAUCUUUUUCUUUUCUCACGUCAUUCAUACUAGGGUGCCAUAGACAUUUUAGGUUAUGUAUAUUUGCUAUGUUUUACGAAACAUAGUAUCAUGGAGUCAAAUUUUGGAGCUGUGAGAAAACUUUUUUUUACUUGCUAGUCUAAAUCUUCACAGAUGCAAAAGUCUGAGGUCUAUUGAGUUGAAGUGACUUAACCUUAUUAAAGUAAGUGGUUAUCAAAACACUACUGUUGAUGCCUAGAUUCAUCCAUUCAAUAAUCAUGCAUUGAGCAGGUAGAUGGGGACUAGACACUCUACUUGGCCUAGCAGAUACAAGGAUGAAGAAGCUGGGUCCUGCCCUUGAGGCACUCUUUUUAGGAACUAGCCUAAAUAAAACUGAAAGAUGAAACUCUGGGUUACAGAUUCUAAAAGAAAAGUUAAGUGGUAUCACCAACAAAAGAGCAAUUCAACUUGGUCUGGGAUAUGACAGGGGAGAUUACUAGGAGAAGGCUUCUCAGAAAAGAUUUCAGCCAUAUAUGAAAAGUGCAUACCUGUAGGACUAUCUCCAUCUCAGUGGAAUUUAAGUUAACUGACCAAAUUCAUUUCAUGGGCCAGACAAGAAGUUAAGAGUGUUUGUGUAGAGUUACUACUUAUAUAAGAAAGAUGCACAUGUGGGAAUGAAAAUUGAAUUACUCUGUUAUUACAUCCUCUUAUAAAUAUUAUCUACAUAUGCAUUCCAAUUAUUUCUUAUACUCACUGAACUGUAUUAUUUUCUUUUACAGAUAUAUACCUUUAAGUCCUUUUAAUAUCUUUAUGCUGGAGGUGGGGGGAAAAAAAAACAUUAGGUUCCUUACUGAAAUUCAGAUAUUGUAAUGCUGACCCAUAUUCCCAAGAGGCUGGCAAGUAAGUCACCAGCACCAGAGUGACUUGAAACGUCAGGGUUUGUACUCAAUCCAUUGAAUCAUCCUGUCUCUUGAAAGUGGGUCUCCUUUCGGAUACCCGAAUGGAUAAGAUUAGGUAAUAACACAAUAAGUAGCAAGCAGCAAGAGCCAAUUAGUACAUACCUCAUGAAAGUGUUUUGGAUGUGCUUCAUUUUGAAAGAGAAAUGAGAGGUUGCCAAAUUUCACAGAAGUCAUGUUUGUUCCUGUACUUGAGCUGAAUAAUACAAAGUUUUCUUGAUUAAAUUUUUAAAUAUUUUUCCAGCUGCAACUCUACCACGUCUCUGCCCACAUCAGUGCAUUGAAGGAUGGGUAUACAGUUGAAAGUCUGCUUUGGGCUUCAGGAGAAGAAAAUAAAUUUAAUGACAAGUAAAAGCAGGAAGUGCCAACCUAGUACAAUUUAACAUUUACAGGUUUCAAAGUCUGAUAAGAACCUCAAAUUCCCACACUCUGCUCAGAGAAAAAUACUAUCUAUUUGCUUAAUCUGGCUUUUAUGCUUUCUCUGUAAAACAUGGAGUAAACUGAUCUGGCAAUUUUAUGCUCGAUUUAGUCAGUGUAAAUAAAAAAAUGUAAACAAAUCAAGUUUCAAAACAGAAUAUGAUAUAACCAACUGAGGUGCCUACAUUGACCAAAUUAACUAGAUUAUUGCUAAGUCAUCUUCACUUGUUCUUUGUGGAUAUUCUCAUAAGCAUGGGAAUUUAUGGGAUGUACUUGCAGCCACAAGAGAUGACAAACAUUUAAUUUAAUUAUUCAAGUCUUCAAAAUUUGAAUGAAUAUCCCCCAAAAAGACAUCCCACCUAUAAACUAGUCUGAUACUCAUGUUAAAUUCUCUCCUACACAGCCUCCCAACAUGAGUGACAUGGCCCCCGAACCCUGCUGCUAUACAGCCAACACCAUCUGCCUCUGUCAUAGGGCUUUAGAAGAAUAGGCCUCAUCUAACACAAGCUACCUUCUCCAUAAAUAACUCAAACUCAUCUUCAUAAACUGUAAUGCUUCUCAAAAGAGCUCAGAACAAAAUCAACAGUAGCGAUGGAAUACGAUUUUCAAUUUACCAAAAAACAUCUUAAAGAAUAUAUGGUUAGGUGAACUGGGAUGCCCAGUGGGUGGCUGCUGUUGCUUCUUCAGGUCAAUCAGUUAUGCCUUACCUAGCUGAGAAUGAAUAAAGAGCAGUACUCUUCCCUAUUCUGCAAUAAUCAAGUCACUUUUUCUGGAGGAAAAUAGGAGUUUUCCACUGGUGGCCACACAGUCUUUUUUGUGGAGUGUCUACACUGCUUAUCAUUUGAGUGGAGAAUGAGUCUACCUGGAGAACACCAAGCAUUUCUAUGUAGCAAAGGAGGUUCAAAUGCUAGAUCUCCAACUUUUUCAAGAGAAGCCAGAAGUUCAAACUUUUAUUGUCAAUUCCUCGGAUUUGAUUUAACAUCAAGAGACCAAACAAAACAAGUCUAUAUACUUAGGUUGGCCCAUUGACCACUGGUUUAAGAUGUCUCAUAUACAUGGGGAUUUUCAUUCACUUUAUCAGUACACUGACCUAUUUUUAUUUAUUUAUGAUUAUCCCUAUAUUAGCUUAAUUCUACACAAUUUUCUUGGGUAAACUGGAUACAGUCUCAUGUUAACUAACAAGGAUCCAACCAUGAAUAGGCUAACAUUUCUGACAUCAAAGAGACACAGUCUAAUGGUACAGAAAAGUCAGGAGAUAAGUGGAUCGUGUUGUAAUAGGGAAGUGUAUUCUGCAUAAACAAGGGGUGGAUUUAGCAAGUCAGAGAUUGGAAAGACCAGCUAACAAAGGCCUUAUAUAUCAUGGUGAUGCGGACACAAGCAGCUACAAUUUACUGAACACAUAAAAUGUACCAAACCUUGUGCUUACCUUGUACUCACAAUUCUCAAUUUAAUUCUCACACCAAUCCUUAAGAGAGAAAAACUAUUAUCAUCUCUAUUUUAUAGAUGAGGAAACUGAAGCUUAGAAAGGUCGAGUAACAUGGCUACGUGUGGCAGUCAGAAUCUGGGCUCAUUAACAACUAUCUGACUCCAAAAUCUGUGUUUUCAGCCACUAUGAUAUUGCUAAAGAAUUUGGAUUUCAGCCUAUAAGUAAUGGAAAACAAAUGAGGAAUCCUAUUUCUGUUCAGUUCUUAUAACACUCUGUGAGCUAAAUAAUGGAAAGUAUGAUUACUGUUUUAAGUCUGAAUAAACCAAGAAAGGUUAAGCAAUUUAAAGCAAGGGAAAUAAUGGGCUCCUAAGUACCCAAAUGGCUCAAUUCCUAGCCCAGGAUUCAUGCUGGUUUUACAUGGUUGGCGAGUAUUACUUUCCAGAUACUUGGUAUGCUUUCAACAAUCAUACUUCUUCAAUUCAGAAAUUCCAAGAGGACAUUCCCAAUUAAAUCCUCUUCCCAGCAGAACCUUAGCUAUUUCUAGCCAAGUCAUUCCUAAUUUGUGAUGUCAAUCAGAGAAAUAUAAAAUAAGUACUGUGACAAAGAAAUACAGCAGUUACCAACUUCUCCCCACACCCCUACCUCAGCCCACCUGUGUGUACAGGUACUACAAAUCUCACUUGAAUGUCCAUAAUGAAGUAAUGGUACACUAAGAAUUUUCUUUUGUGUGUUAGUAACUCAUUAACAACAUUCUUUUCAUUGACUUAUAAUUCCCAUAAAGCAUUUAAGCAAUCAAUUUUCCAGGUGAUAGCCACAACAUUUUAAACAUAUCUGUGAAAGUCUGACCCUAUCAGGCUUUCCUACAACAAAAAUUUAAUACCACUCUAUCAUUCAGGUCAAAGCUAUAAUUAAAGGAAGAUUAAUUAUUUAUAACAGUGGUAUAACAUGGAUGGAUAAAGAAUUUGGCCAAAAUAUUUCUCUGCUCACAGAAGAAAACAGUUAUGUAAAUGAAACUGUAUUCUGGUCAUUUUCAUUCCCUAGAAAUGUCACACAGCUAGAAAACAUAAUCUUAAUGUUUUUCAGAGUGAAAAAGUACAGUAACUUUCUCCAUUUCAGCAACCACUUAUCAAGUACUUAUAAAUAUUACUUAUACAUGGCAAUCUUGGGAAACAAGUAUAAAAUGAUGUGUACAUGACAAAAGAUAGAAUAAAAUAUAAAGACAAAUUAUAGAAAGGGGAUAAUAGUUGCAAAAUCAAUGAGAAAUAGGAAUAGAAGGAACCUCCUCAAACUGAUAAAGAAUAUCUAUGAAAGACCUACAACUAAUUAUAUUUACUGGGAAGCAACUGGUUGUUUUCUCCCUUAGAUCU